rnacentral:tRNA from 1 species
GGAAAGAUGGCUCAGUGGUAGAGCUCUUGCCUUGCAUGCAUGAGGCCCUGGGUUCGAUUCCUCAGUACCA